rnacentral:rRNA from 1 species
UACAGAGGGGGCAAGCGUUGUUCGGAAUUACUGGGCGUAAAGGGCGCGUAGGCGGCCUUCUAAGUCGAACGUGAAAUCCCCGGGCUCAACCCGGGAACUGCGUCCGAUACUGGAAGGCUUGAAUCCGGGAGAGGGAUGCGGAAUUCCAGGUGUAGCGGUGAAAUGCGUAGAUAUCUGGAGGAACACCGGUGGCGAAGGCGGCAUCCUGGACCGGUAUUGACGCUGAACGGCGAAAGCUAGGGGAGCAAACGGG